rnacentral:misc_RNA from 1 species
CCCUUUCAAUGCAGCAGAAUUGGGAUGGUUGAGUAUCUCGCCUCUCCGUUCUGCCUGUAUUCUACCCUUGUUGUCAUAUACUAUUAUUUCCCUCGGCAGGCUUGCCUGCCGAGUGAAACCAUUUAUAACCUUUUUAUUUUCACAAAUCAGCGUCUGAAAAAAAUUAGUAAUUACA